GGCCAAAUUUCUGCUAAAUUUGAGCUGAAGCCUCCACCUUAUCCACCGGUAAGAUUUCAAUGUCUUCGGUUAUGAUUAUCAUGACUUAUCCUCGGUAAGUUCAUUACAUUCGAGUAACACAUCAAGUUAUAUAAUUCAUAGUUGUCGAUUGGGUUUGUCUUCAGUUUCUCAGUUGUUUUUUUUUUUGGGGUUUAUGUUUCAUGAAGAAAUGAAAGCUUUAAUUUAAGAGAAUUACUUUGACGUAUCUAGGAAAAAGAAAAGAGCGUUUUUUUUAUAAAAAAACUUUUGUAUGCUUAUCAAAUUUAUACUGUCACGGCAGAAUGCUUUGGAGCCACAUAUGAGCAAGGACACCCUGGAGUAUCACUGGGGAAAGCACCACAGAGCUUAUGUAGAGAACCUGAACAAGCAGAUUGUUGGAACUGAGCUAGAUGGAAUGUCAUUGGAAGACGUUAUCAUUGUUUCAUAUAACAAGGGCGACAUGCUUCCUCCUUUCAACAAUGCUGCACAGGUAUGCUAUGCAUCAUAUUGUAUUAUACGUCUUGAUAACAACCAUUCUGUAGUUUACUUCUUGUCACAUUGUAUAAGUGUGUGAUGCGAAUAAAUAUCAAUUAUAAAAUCAAAUGGAUACUUUCUUUUUCCAUUAUAAUUCUACUAAUAUUUGGCCUGAUAAUGCAGAGUAAAUUAAAUAAAUGUCUCUCUUUCUCUCUGGGAGUCAUUUCACUUCCUCAUUGUCAAUUCCAAAGUUCCAUGAAUUGUAAUUUAGUGCUUUUCAUCUGUAUUCAGGCAUGGAACCACGAGUUCUUUUGGGAAUCCAUGAAACCAGGUGGUGGUGGAAAGCCAUCUGGUGAACUUCUAGAACUGAUUGAAAGGGAUUUUGGUUCUUUUGAUAGAUUUCUCGAGGAAUUCAAGUCGGCUGCAGCCACCCAGUUUGGUUCUGGUUGGGCUUGGCUGGCAUGUAAGUGACCUUCCUACCUCUUGCUCUUUGUUAUUGUUUUGUGAAACUUGUGCUGAAAUGUUUUCUUCUUGUUUUAUUUAUCCAGACAAAGCCAAUAGACUUAAUGUGGAUAAUGCCGUGAAUCCUUUUCCAUCAGAGAAGGACAAGAAGCUUGUAGUGGUGAAGAGUCCCAAUGCUGUCAAUCCACUUGUCUGGGAUUAUUCAGUGAGUAAUUUUUCACUUUGCUAAAGGAUUCCCAGUUUACAUUUAUGUCAUACUGCAGAGUUAGGAAAGCUUUUAAUGUCUGUUUCGUUACUUUGUUUCUCUAUGCAUCUGAUGUUAUUCUUGUUGAAUUUGCAGCCACUCCUUACUAUUGAUGUUUGGGAGGUAAACGUUUUCCACUGUUUUCUACUUAUCGAAAAAUAAAUUAAAUACAUAUUUUCUUUAUGAUACUAGUCUAAUCUUAAUUGAUCAGUUACUAAUUCUGCAAUUGUAUUUGUUGUCUCAACAGCAUGCUUAUUUCCUUGAUUUCGAGGUGAGGCUUAGUUAAUGAAAUGAGCAAUUAGAUUUUAAUUCUUCGAUUAAGUUACUUGUAAAGAUCAUAGGUGGGAUCUAACAGCUGUCUCAUUGAUUGCUUGUAGAAUCGACGACCUAAUUACAUAUCAGUUUUUAUGGACAAGCUUGUGUCAUGGGAAGUAGUAAGUAAAAGACUUGAAAUUGCAAAGGCUCGAGCUACAAAGAGAGAAAUGGAAGAAGAAAGGAGGAAAAAGGAAGAGGAAGAAGAAAAUUCUGAAGACGAAGCUGUUGAGGUGUAUGUAGAUGGUGAUGAGUCAGAAUCCGAGUGAAUCAAAACUGUUUGUCAGUGGCAUCAAUAAGCUAGAUAUAUUUUUUCGAUUCCUUUAUCUUUUCUUUCACUUGGUACUCACAUUGCCAUAAUAUAGAGCAUAGAGGUUAGUUUAAGCGGCUGCUUUACUGUGCAGUGCCAUCAAUUUUUAGAAUUUUCUGGUCGUUCCAAGUCUUCAAAACAUCAUUAUCACUGUGAAAAAUGGUAUUUAUAACAGACAAUAUCAUAUAUAUUAGGUCAGACAGGGAUUGUUUAGUCGCAACAGAAAUAACCUUAACUAAACCUAUUGGUUCUAUAAAAAUAUUGCUAAUUGUCAAACAUGAAAAUUAGCAAUAUAUUAUAAUGUGAUUAUUAGUGGUUAACAGGACUUUGACAUGAUUACUAUUACUCGGAGGGUGCGUUUGGAAUUGAGGUGUUGUACCUUUUAAACUACAGCUGCUGUGAAAAAAAAAGCUGUAACUACGAAAUAAAAGUUAAUAAUAUAUAAUAAAUAUAAAUUUUAAAUAAUAAUUUUGACAAAAUUAUUAAAGAUAUAAUAGAUUUUUCAUCAUAUAAGUGAAAAAUCAUAUUAAUACAUCUUUCAAGUUAUAACAGUUAGUGUUAUACCAAAUAUUUUAGUGCUAUAACUUUUAAACUACAGCUGCCUAACUUCAAUCCCAAACGCACCCUUAAUAUGUUAGCAACAAAUUUGUGUCCAAACUUCAUUUUAUUAUAUUUUAAUUACAUUACAAUCUUCUAACUGCAGAACCUCUUAAUUAAACUUUUUGAUGGCAUUAUUCUGGUAUUUGGGCCCGGAAUUAAUAGACCAAACCUAAUUUCAAAUAUUAAAAAAAAAUUCCAAAGGACAUGACUCAACUCUUUCUCAAAAUAAUUGUAGUGCAAUCUAUAUUUAAGUGUCUUUUAUUUUUCUAAAAAUAAUAAAAGAAAUUGCCACUUAAAAUAAGAGCUUAGCCUCUCAAGAGUCAAGAAGAAUUAAUAAAUUCAUAAUGGAUUCAAAGCAUGAUUUUUUUCGUCAUCUCUGUAUGUAAUCCAAGUAUGAGCUGUUGUCCUAUGAACAACAAAUAAUUCAUGGAGUUUUAAUUGGCUGGCUCAUUUCUUAGAAAAAGAAAGAAAUUAUUUUGGUAACAUGAUGAUUUCUUGUUAACAGGAGGAGACUUAGAAGAAAUUGACCAAAUUUUUGUGCAACACUUGUAAAUACUUCUUGCUGGAAACCCUAGAUAAUCCAAAUUUAGAUGUCCUGAAGAUUAUAGAGUGCAAUAAAACAAAGGAAGUUUGUGCUAAAGCUUGAGAUUGGUUGUGCAUUGUAGCUGAGCAGGUGUCUAUAUGAGGCUCAUUAUGAUAACCAUGUUAACAAGUUUUCAAAAAUGUUUAGAGAAGGUGCUUCUAUCAAGUUUGGGUCGAGAAAUUUAGCAAUUCCUUUGGAAGUUUCCUACGAAUUUCUCAGAGCGAGUUUGGGUUUGUAAGGUCCGUUUUAGUUCCUCAAGGAAGAAAAGUAUAAGGUUGGAGAAUUUUAGCUAAGGCAGUAGAUAAGUUGGGUCGGGGUGAUUCUGGCAAAUCUGUUAACAAAAGUGCAGGGUAUAGAAGAGAUAAUCCAGAAGCUUGGUCAAAUAGGCUUAUCAAAACAGAAGAAAGGAAGAGUUUCGCUUUUAGUGAAGGUAACAUAUUCAAAAUGGCUUGUACUUAGAGUAUGGAGUCGUGUUAUUGUGUGCUUUAGGGAGCACAGUUGGGACCCGUGGUAGAAGAUCCCAAAGAGUUUAAGUACAAGGGUGAAUUUGAAGAUUGUUCUUAAACCUUAUUAGUCUAAUAAAUCCAUCUUCUUGUAUCAGUCUAUGAAGGAAGCAGAAGAUUAAGGAGAAUUGGUAGGUUAAUGCUGGAGGGGCAUAUCAGAGAAAUAUAAUGCCUUUCUUAUCUAAGAGAGGCUAGAAUCAAAGUUAAAAAGGGUGAACAAGGUUUUAUUCCAACAUUUUUUGUUGUCGAAGAAAAUGGGUCCAAGUGGAAAGCCAAGCUAAGAGUAAUCAGAAAAAGAAUAAACAAUUCAUAUAUGUCCUCUAUUGUUGCAAGGUUGAAGAAGGUAAGAAAAGGUGGAUUCGUGGUAGUAAGGAAAAACAAAGUGCAUACAAUGUAGGUGAAACUAGAGAUGUGCAUUAAGCUUCUUUUGUACAAAUAUCCUUUGAUAAAGUGGAUAAGAUUGGGAAAUCCAUUGUUUCUAAUCCAUGUCAGAAUUUUCAAAUUUUAAAAUGCUCAGAGCUUGCUAAAAAAGAUAAAGGGUACAGGCUUGAGUUGGGUGUCGAGUCCAAAACCCAGAUGGAUUUUAAUCAACCUAAGAGACUUUAAAGUGGGCUUGACAAGGUUAGUUCUCAAAACUUUUUAAAGCGCAUCCCUGUUCUCUCGAAUCCUAGGCCUCAACCCUAAGAAUACAUUUUUUUUCAAACAUUCAUCUUCCUUGAAAUGCUGGAUUGAUCCAAAGAGACAGAAAACAAAAAUCUAAAUUUUUUUAGAGUUAAAUCCCAAAAAUCCAAUCCAAAAAAAAAAUAGAUUCCCUAAUAAUAUUAAAUCUAAAAAGCCUUGUCUUUAGUUUUCUAAUUCAAAGAAGGAUGACAGGAAAAUUGAAUAGAAAAUUAUGGAGUAUGACUUAAUGGACAUAGAAAUUGCUGAUGGGGUUAGUUUUAAAGGUGAAUUUCAUAGGCUUAAUUUGACAAAGAUGGACAUAUAUGGCUAAAUGUCUUAUGAUUUUUAUGUUUCUGGAGGUGAAAAACUCUAUAGAGGAUGAUGUGGGUAGAGUUAAUAACAUGCAAAAUCACUUAUGUGUGUAUUCAAGUAAUGAGGAAGGGUCUGAGUCAAAACAAAAUGGAUUGUUAAGGUUUGUUGAGGCACAAUAAGAAGUUGAGGAGGAUGACGGUUAUCAAAAUGAGCUAAUUGCCUUAUUCUCUGAUAACAAUGACAGACUUCCUAUAUCUAGUAGAGGUAGUGAAAGUGAAAAUCAAGACCAACUACAAAAAACCAUCUUGGUAGUGAAAGUGAAAUGAUCAUAUCAAAGAAAUGAGACUAAGAGGCUAGUGUUGGGAAUAAAGUUCCUAAGUAGAAUAAUCCUCAUGAUUUUUAUAAUGAAGACUUGUGGUGAAAUUUUCAAUCCUUCUUAGAGGAGAUAAAUUUGUCAUUGGUUCCUAUGAAAAAAAGAAGUAAUGUUGGCAAAUCCUCAAGGAGCAGGAAAACUAAAGGGGUUAGAGAGCUGUGUAAUUUAAAGUCUAGCAUUAAUUACGAGAAGUGUGUUAAGAAUAAGGGUAAGAAGGGAAUUUUAGAUGAUUUAUGAAGAUUCUAUCUUGGAAUGUAAAAGGUUUGUGGGAUGUUAGAAAAAGAGGGAUGAUAAUAGAUACCUUGAAGAAAAUAAGACUAGACAUUGUAGUGAUUCAAGAAACCAAGAAGUAAAUUUUUUGUAGGAAAGAUGUAACUAGUAUUUGGGGUUCUAAAUUUAAAGAGUGGGGUUUUUUUUUUUUUUGCCUUCUUUGGGGAGGUUAGGAGGUAUGGUUAUGGUUUGGAAUACAAAAUCAGUAGAAUUGUCGGAUUGUCUUAUGGGGGAUUUUUUCGUUAUUUGUUAAGAUUAAGAAGGGCAACAAUGUUGAGUAUUGGUAUUUAGAGUUUAUAGUCUUGGCCGACCGAGAAAUAAAAUGUCUUUUUUUAGAAGAAUUAGCUGGUCUUUAUGUUGUGUGUAGUCUUAAUUGGUGUGUCGGUGGAGAUUUUAAUGUGGUUAAAUUCUCUUAUGACAAAUCAAAUAGGGGCAGAGAGACUAGUAGUAUGAAGAUGUUUAAUGAGUUCAUUAGAGAAUCUAAAUUGACAGAUCCAGAGUUAAUUAAUGCCUCUUUUACUCGGUAAAAUAUAAAGGAAGGAGGUUGUGUGUUGUAAGCUCGGCAAAUUUUUGUUUUCCAGUGAGUGGAAGGGAUUUUUCAUUGUUUUAGGCAAGAGGCUUUAGUGAGAAUAACUUCAUAUCAUUGGCUGAUUUUGAUGGACUCUAACUUCAAAAAAUGGGAUCCUGUGCCUUUAAGAUUUGAAAAGGUAUGAUUGUUGUAUCAGACAUUUAGGAAUAACUUUAAAAAAUAGUGCAAAAAAUCUCAAGUUUAUGGAUAGGAGUUGGUAGUGUCGUUAGGGUGCACCAAAUUUAAAACCUUACUAUUAGUAUAAAUAAUUAGUACAGAGCGAGUAAGAAUCGAUCCCACAGAGACUAUGCUAGCUGUAUUUAUUAUCAACUCUAAAAUAGGGUUUAAAAUAAAAUAAUAAUAGAAAUAAUUAAUAUAAAUUAGUCUAACUAAAGAAAAUGUCAAUUAUAAAUAAAAGGGGGAUUUUUGAAUUUUUAACUAGAUUGCAAGAAAUAAAGAAAUUAAACUAUGAAAUUUUUUUUUUAAUAAAAACUCUAAUUAAAGGAGAAAAAAAUAAUAAUGAUGAAACUUUGGUUAAAGGAUCAUUCGCCGCCACCAAACAUGCACAUAAUAUAUCAAUUCUAUCAUCAAUUUAUAUUGAAACUAUCAACCGUAGACAACAACAAACUCUGUUCGUCUCAAUCUUUCCUUAGUGUGUCAUUAGGCAAAACAAGUUCUUCACCUAAUCUCUAACCAUUAAAUAAUUUAAAACAAGCUCUUUAAAUUUAAGAUAGAUAUUAGGUUGAUUUAGGCAAUAAACACACAAGCUCGGAUUAUUUAACCUAUGUUAUGUUCUCCAAUUGAAAUAACUGAUUCCAACCUGCUACUUAUGAUCAAAAUCUCAAGACAAUUACGGAUUAAGAAUUUUAAUCUAGCAAUAGAAUUUAUUCAAGUCCUAUCUAAUUGGCCACUCAAAUAAGACGAUAAUAAAAUCAUAAACAUUAAUUAUAGAAGAACAUAAACAAUCUCAAUUAAAUAAAUUAAAUGAUAGAAUUUAAAUUAAUCAUAUGACAUGUUUGGGGCUUUAAAUUCACACUCAACCGAAUAGAAAAUCUAGCCUAACAUAAUUAAAUUGGGAAUAAGAGAAUUGAUAAAACCAAUCAUAAAGAUUAAUUCAAGCGGCUGCCAUUUUCUUCAAUUCCUUUCGGCUGCUAAUUUUUUUUCUUCUCCUUUGCGGCUGCAAAUUGUUCAGUUUCUCUUGCUGCCGAUUCUCCCCCUCGUGUUGCUUCCACUUGGCCCUUAUAUAAUGCUUCAAUUGUGGCUUUUAAAUCCUUGCAUGGAAAGAAUUACAUACAGGCCAAAACCGCCACUUUCAUAACGUGCUUGCCAUUUAAAUUGUCAUGCAAAAUAUUUGCUUCCUUUUUCGUCUUCAUUCACAAACUCUUUUGAUUGGUCAUGCUUAAAGCCAAAAGGCUUUAUUCUUUUCUUCCUCUCACGUGUUGGAUGGCAAUCUCCUUUUUUCCAAUUUUAGCUCCAUGUGAUGGCUUAGCUUGUAAUUGGGCUGCCUUCCUUUUUUACUUCCAUUUUCCAAUUUUAGCUCCAUGUGCAAAAUUAAUUUUGCUUGGCCCGUACAAGCUCUAAUUGGAAAAUAUUCUUUAUUUCUCCAAUUCUUGAUCUCUUGUGCACUUUUGUCUUCCAAUCUUGAAUUCAUUUCCUAUUCUAAUUCUCUCAAUCAGAUUUCUUUUUUGAAUGCUCCGAUUUAAUUUCUCUUUAAUCCCAAAAAAUACCUAAAAUAACAAAAUAAAAAUUAAGAUAAAAAUUAACUCAAUAAAUAUAUAUUUUACUAAAUUAAAAAUUAACUAAAAUAACUAGAAUAUUUAAAACCAAAAUAAGAAAAAGAUGGAGAAAUUAAUAGCAAAAUAUAUGAAAAAUAUGCACUUAUCAGGAGUGAUAUAAAUUUAUGAAAAAGCUUGAUUUGUUGAAAAGAUGUAUCAAGGGGUAGAACAAAUAGAAUUUUGGGAAUGUGAAAGAGCAAAAACAAAGGCUAUAUACUAGGCUUCUAGAUUUAAACUUAAUGGAGGAAUAAUAAAGGUUGAACAGAGAGAGGUGAAACCAAACAACAGUUGGAAUACAUAGUUUUUAAAUAAGAGUUUAUGCGAAGACAAAAGGCUAAAGUUGAAGAUUGAUGAUAAUUUUCACCAGAUUUUAAAAGAAAGAUUAGGCAGAAAUAAUAUCAAUAGAUUGAAGAUUGAUGAUAAUUCCAUUAUACAAGAUGAGGUUGCAUUGAGAAUCAAAUUUUAGAGUUUUUCCAACAACUUUUCUUAAAAGAGCAUUAAGGUCUGAAAUUGAAGGGUUAGAAUGGUGUCCUAUUUCAAUCACCAAAGCAUCUUUGAUGGAGAGACCUUUUGAGGAGGAGGAAAUUAAGAUUGCUAUUUGGACUUGUUGUUGAUAUAAAUCUCCUAGUCCUGAUGGGCAUUUGUUGGCAGUGUAUUAAGAUUAUUGGGAUGUUCUUAAUUAAGACCUGUUAGGAGUUUUUAGGGAAUUUUACAAGUCUGGUGUUGUGAACUCUUCUACUAACUCUACCUCUAUUUGCCUUAUUCCAAAAAAGAAAAAGCCUUCAAAAUUGAAUGAGUUUAGACCCAUAAGUUUAGUGACAAGUCUUUAUAAGAUCAUUUCUAAAGUCCUUUCUCUUAGAUUAAAAAAGGUGUUAGAAGAGACCAUUUCUUACUCUCAAGGUGCUUUUGUGAGGGAUCGAUAGAUCUUGGAUGCAAUUUUAGUCGCUAAUGAAGCUAUGGAGUAGCAUAGCAAAUGCAAAAGACCUGGUCUUUUUUUCAAAUUUGAGAAAGCUUAUGGUUACGUUGAUUGACACUUUUUAGAUUUUAUGUUGGAAGCUAACGGUCUCAGGUAAAAGUGGAGAAGUUGGAUGAGGGGUUGCUUAAAUUCUAUUAGUUUUUCUAUCUUCUUGAAUGGCAGACCUAGAGUAAGAUUCAUGCUUCUAGAGGUCUUCAACAAGGGGACCCUUUCUCUCAUUUCUUAUUCACAAUUGUGUUUGAUGUACUUAGCAUAUUAAUGGACAAGGCUCAAGAAUCCACGCUAGUUAAGGGUUUCUCAAUUAGUGAAUAUAAAUUUUGGUUUCUCUUCUCAUCUCCAAUUUGCUAAUGACACAAUUUUCUUCCAUUUCGAUGAUGUAGGAAAAUUUCAUAAUCUUCUCAAAAUUAUGGAUUUCUUUUGUGUAGUUUCCGGCUUGAAAAUUAAUUUGAGGAAUAGUUCAAAUGUAGGCAUAAAUUUCUAGGAUUAAAAGUUAAUUGACUUGGCUUUUUCAGUUGGGUGUGAGAUUGGGAAUUGGCCUUUAAAAUACUUAGGAUUACCUCUUGAGGGGAACCCCAGGAAAGUUGAUUUUAUCCUCCAAUCUUAGAAAAAGUUGAGAAGAGAUUAGAUGGGUGGAAGAAAGCGUGACUUUCCACAAAAGGAAGGCUAACUCUUAUCCAGUUUGUUAUGUCCAGCCUUCCUACUUAUUUUAUGUCUUUAUUUCAUAUUCCUGUGUCAGUAGCUAUAGAAAAAGUUAUGAUGGAUUUUUUGUGGGAAGCCAUAAGGGAUGGUAAAAAAUAUCAUUUGGCAAGCUAAAAGGUAGUUUCUUAAUAGCAAUCCAAAGGACGACUAGGGUUAGGAAAUAUUAUUAACAAAAAUAAAGCCUUGCUAGGGAAGUGGUUAUGGAGAUUUCCUUUAGAAGUUAAUUCUCUUUGGUAUUGUGUUAUAAAAACUAAGCAUGGGUUGCGUAAAAAUGGUUGGGAUGAAGUUGAUGUUGUUAGGGGGAGUACUAGACGUCCUUGGGUGAUUAUUUUAAAAGGAAAAACAUAUUUUGUAUCCAAUUUUAAGCUGGUAGUUGGUAAUGGGCAGAGAGUUAGAUUUUAAGAGGAUUGUUGGAUUAGCGAGGUUGCUCUUUGUGAUCUUUUCCCUCGAUUAUAAAGGCUUUCUUGAGGUCGUGAGUGCUGUAUAGCUAGCCUAUUUAAGCAUUCUAUUAUGCAAUGGAGAUGGGAUUUUACGUUCCUUAGAAACUUAAAUGAUAGAGAAUCUGAACAAUGUGUUGAGAUGCUUGGGAUCCUAUAUGGGUUUUUUUAAUGAUUUGAAAAAGGUACGAUAGUUUAGAAUUUAGAUAAAUGAAGAUGUUUUUCCACUAAAUCUUACUUUUGUAGUCUCAUAGAUAACCCUAAUGCUCCUUCAUUUUCUCUUUUUCACCUAAUUUGGAAAGCUAAAGUCCCUACCAAGGUGAAAUGAUGGUUUGGUCUGUUGCUAAUAGAAAAAUCAAAAUGAAUGACAUAGUUAAAAAAAGAAGACUUAAUGUGGUUUUAUUUUCAUAAUGAUGUGUCGCUUGUAAAAAUGUAUCAGAGAAUGUCAGUCAUCUAUUUCUACAUUACAAUGAUGCAUACUUUUUAUGGUCUAACUUGUUUGAGAAAACAAAAAGGAGAAAAAAAAGGGAGAAACUAAAGAUGUAUCAUGUUCCUACCUCUUAUUGGAAAGUGUUUCUUGCUUAAAAAGGAGAAAAAAAAAAAAAAGGAGAAAAAAAAGGGAGAAACUAAAGAUGUAUCAUGUUCCUACCUCUUAUUGGAAAGUGUUUCUUGCUUAAAAAGGAGAAAAAAAAAAAGCAAGGGUUUUAUGGGACUAUGUAGUCUUGGCUAUUUUUUAGGUUGUGUGGAAUGAAAAAAACUAAAAAAUCUUUGAUAAUAAAGAUAGGGAAGAUGCUUCACACCUAUGGGAUAAUUCCCUCUGGGCAUCUAUUAUUGUUGAAUUUAAAGACAUUUCUUUCUUUUUUAUUUUGCUUAAUUGGGAUGUUUCUGUAUCUUAAGAGGUAUGCAUUCUUAGUGAGCUGGUGUUUCUAGGUUUUGGGAUUUUUUUUUUUUAUCUUUGUAGUUUUUUUAAGUGUUUUGUUUAGGACAUCUCUUCCUUAUUUUUGUGGAUUUGUAGUCCCACCGAUCCUUGUACAUAUUUCAUAUAGUUUAAUAUAUAAUCUUUUGUUUCUUAGCAAAAGAAAAAAUUAUCAUUCAUUUAGUAAAUUGCAUCAAGGGCAUUUUAGUAAUAUAAAUCAAAGUAACUGAUAUUUUAGUAAAAGAAAGAUUACACAAAGUGUUUAUUAGAGAUUUUCUUUUACUAGUUCCUGCCAUUUGUGUCUACUCUUUCACCAUUUUUUUUUAAUUCUAAUCACAAAUUGAUCCUGAAGCUUUUGAUAUCUUAAUGAGAAAUUCAGCUAUUAAAAAUAAAUAAUAUUGACAAAUUUCUUUAUGAGAGUUGUCAAUUAACUAGUUGUACUAAUAUUGACCUCCAAAGUUGUUUAAUUGAAUGUUUUUCAAAUAAUUUUAUUUGAUUGGUAGUCCGAAUUCAAGUCUUAAUUGAUUUAAGAUUUUGGCUACACUUCUAUCUUAAAUAUAUAUAUAUAUAAGAAAAAUUGUACUUACAUUGGAUUCAUUUCGAAAAAUUGUACUCACAACAGCAUCCAUACUACCUCGGUAUCCAAGUAUAGGCAUAGUUAUUAUGAUACAUAGAAAUAGUGCUGGGGCAAUAAACAAUUAUGUAAAUAAUAUUAAAGUUCGAGAACAAAUUUACAAGGUUAUAAUUAAUAAUCAAUUUAAAGUGAUAUAUUAACCUAAGUUGUUUGACUUUAAAUGAGAGACAAAUUUUCAUCCUUAUUUUCAUUGUAUAUAUUCAGUGGGGCAAAACACCUACUAUAAAAGUUUAAAUGAAAUGAAAAUUGUAGAAUGAUAAUAAUAUGUAAACGUUCAAUUAGUCUUUAUAUUUUGGGUUAAGUUUCUCAUUUAAUUUUUAUAUUUUGAAAAAUAUUCCAAGACACCAUUACUAUUAAUUAUGUUAUGUUUUUAUCCUUUUCUUUUUUUUAGAUUUCACAAUAAUAAAAACUGUAAAUUUAUUGCUCUGAUACCAUUUAGGGUACGUGACUUGUUAUCUGACAGUGCAGACCAGACUAGUGCCUAUUCAGGAUCACCUCUGGAAUUUACGUCGUCGGUUUCCUGUCGAUAUACUCAAAUGGGGAAUCAAAACUUUUGUUAAAACACCUUCUUUCUCGGGUUAUUUAACCCAAAACAGAUUUUCCUUUAGUCUAAAACAGGGAACCAAACCAGAUAAGAAUUUGUUCCAAAAGUUUUCUGAUGCACAGGAUCCUUACUAGAAGGCAAGUGCAGAGCAUACUUCCUUAGGGUUCAAAACGAACAAAUUUAAUUCUUUAUUCUUUUUCUUUCUUUAGAGAGCUUCGUUUGCAGAGAGAGGAGAGAGGUUUAGAGAUUCAUAGUGAUAAAAACACACGAGAGUUUAUUGCUUCAAACUUCUAUAUUCUAUAUCUUACAAGCAAGGGGAGAAUCCUUUAUAUAGGAGAAUUCUCAAAGGAGAUAGGACAUGACCCCUAUUUUUUUUUUCAAAAGCAAAAGAUACGACAACAUAGAGAGAUCAUGACUUCUCCAGUGAUCAUGACCUGUAGCACACCUUUUUAGAAAGUCAAGCGCACCGAUCAAGACUUGGAUAAAUGGACAAAGGAGAAAGCAUGCUUACAAAGACUUUGACAACUGGCAAAAGCCAAAGCGUAAAGCAAGCUAAGACAAAACCAUAAAGUAAAACAUAAUUAUUACAACAAGACAAACUACUUUAUUGAAAGCAACAAGACAAACAACUUUAUGGAGAUCGGAGAUUCAUGUAAUCGUCUUCGGAUGAGCUUUCGGUUUCAUCGGGGUCAGUGUGACGGUUGGAUUUUGGGAAAAUGAUUUUGGAGAGCUUUGGAUGCUUACAGUAGGGACCACGGCAAGGGGGGUAAGGACAAUCUCUUCGGUAUCCUGGCCUAGGUGAUGUUUGAGUGGCUUUGUCAACUUUGGAGGGUUUAGUGGUUGAGUCAGCAUUGGGAGGUUGGGAUGAGGAUCGUGGUUCAUUCAUGGAUGGUUGCGGAAACUGUUGGAGAUGUUGGCUGAGGGGAAGGAAAUCUUCUCAGGGGUCUUGGGAGUCUUGGAAAAGGAAGUUAGUGUAGUUUGGCUUUUCUUCUUUGAUAAUGAUUCCCGUGGAUUUCGGUUUGGAUAUGGCAGAUGGAGUGGGGAUAAUGAGGAGGUCAUGUUGUGGGCCUAAGAAGGUGUGGAAGAUAUCUUUAAGUGACAGAGGUUGGUGGUUUAAUUGGCAAAGGUAGUUGUGAAGGACAUCUUGGAUUUCAUUUUCAAUGACAGCUAGAUGUGGUGCAGUGAACCAUUCAUAUACCUGGUCUUGAGUCCAAAAGAGUUUUGUGUCUGGAUGUUGAAAGUAUGACCUGUGAAUGAUAAAGACUAAGGUAAACAUUUGUGCUUCCGAGGCAGGCAUACGUUCAAGGUUGUAAAUUUUGAACAAUUACUGUAGCUUGUUUCUCCACCAUGGUAUGGGGGAGAACCAUUCAAGUAAUGUCCAGGUAAGAGAGGUAGAUUUGUCUGGGUCUAGGAGAUGUUCCAAAGUGGGAGUAAUUUGUAGGACUAACUUAGUGGCAUAAAGGACUGUUAGGCACCAGAUGUACCAUAACACAUCUUCAGUGAUUUCUCUGGAUGGAUCAAGGGUUAAACCUGUAAGGAACAAAUUUUUUGGGUGGAAAGAGGAAAAUUGAAAGGGUUCUGUGACAAGGUAAGCUUUCAUGAAGAAGCGAAAGAGAGCUUUCUUUGCAAAUUCUUGGAUGGCAAAGACAGAAGAGAAGUUUUUGUUGAAGAGAAAAGUUUUCUUGGUGAGAGCUUCUGGGGGUAGUGAUGUAGCCAUAGAGAUGAUCGGAAAGUGGUAUGUAGUGAAAAACAGGGUGAGAGGUUUUUAUGGUUUUGAGAGUCUGGAUAACAUAUCAGGGAUGAGGUUCUGGGAUCCCUUUAUAUGCUUGACCGAAAAGUCAUAUUUGGAAAACCAAUCUUUUAAUCUGAGUAAUAUUUUUUCGGGAACAGUUUUACCUUUGAAAUUGAGAAUAUUAGGGAAGGCUGAACUGUCUAUUCGGAUGAGAAAAUGGUGUCCAAUCAGAUGAUACUCAAACUUUUUGAUGCCAUUCUUUACCGCUAAGAUUUCUUUGAACACGCUAUGGUAAUGCUUACUCAAAUUUUUUGAUGCCAUUCUUUACCGCUAAGAUUUCUUUGAACACGCUAUGGUAAUGCUUCUGUGUGUCAGAAAAUUGUCCACUAGCGUAAGCGAUAAAGUGUUCUUUUCCAUUAAUGUUUUCAAGGAGGAUGGCACCCCAUGAGUCAUCACUUGCGUCUGUCUGUAAUAGGCGCUUUCCAUCAGUAAUCAACUUUAAAGGAGGCGGACUGGCACCCCAUGAGUCAUCACUUGCGUCUGUCUGUAAUAGGCGCUUUCCAUUAGUAAUCAACUUUAAAGGAGGCGGACUUUGCGCAAUCUUCUUGAGAGUAGUGACAACAUUUGUGUGGUCCGUAUUCCAUUCUGGGGGCUUCUUUUUCAAUAAAGCUGAAAGGUGAUGAGUGAAGUGAUCCACACGUGGGAUGAAGUCUCUAAUGUAAUUGAUGAUGCCGAGAAACUGUUGAACUUGCUUUUUGGAAAGUUGCUGAUCUGGAAAGGGAAGUAAUUCUUGGGCAAUGUGUUUGCCUGGCUGAUAAUGGCCAUCUUUUAUGAUCAUGCCAAGGAAUUCAAUGUUCUCCGUGGCAAUGGUGCUUUUCUUGGCAGACAACAUAAUUCCAUGAUUUUGGACAAUAUCAUAGAAUUAGGUUAACAGCUGGCGGUGUUCAUCAUGUGAUCCUGAAAAAAGUAAGAUAUCGUCAAUGGAAAUCAAUGCAUGAUGCAGGAUGGGCUGAAAGAUAUGGACCAUAGAUUUUUGAAAAAUGGAUGGGGCAGUUUUGAGGCCGAAAGGAAGGACGGUCCAUUGGAAAUGGGCAUUUGGGAUACAAAAAGCAGUUUUGUAAUGCUCAGAGGGUUCAAUGCCUAAUUGCCAGAAGCCUGAUUUUAAAUUAAAUUUUGAAAAGAUCUGGGCAUUUUUUAGAAAAGUAAACAUGCUUUGUCGACGGGACAAGGGAAACUUGUCAUCUUGUAAAAACAUGUUUAAUGGCUGGUAGUCAAUGACUAGGCAUUUCUUUCCUCGGACAAUUUCAGAAUGCUUUUCAACAUAAAAAGCUUGGCAAGCCCAUUGAGAAUUCGCGGGCUCAAUUAGACCUUGGGCUAACAGUUGGGAACAUUCCUGUUGUGCUAGGAGUAAAUUAGAAGGACUCAUUCCUGGGUGAGUAGCUUUGGUUGGGUUAAUGUUUUCAUUGAGUUUGAAAGGUAACUUAAUGAAGAAAGACUUAUUUUUCCACAAUGGGUUUGGAUGGGUGAACUCAGAAUGAGACUCUAGACAGAAACUCAAAAGUUUGGUGGAAAUAUCCUGGUAGGACUGGGGGGUUUCAGACAGAUUGUAGAGUUUCAGAAUGUCUAUGAAAGGUUUGAACAUGGACUUGACUCGAAUUCCAGUGGGUAGGAUUUGAAGGUGUUUGAUCUGGUGAAGGAUGUCAAAACCUAACAAGAGAUCCUUAUUAGGAAGGGUUGAACCGAUAACUUUGAUCCAAAUGACACAAUUAGGAAAAAAUUGAAUACCAAUGGGUUUUUUGGUAAUCAAGGAGGUGGUGAAUAGUUUGCCAUUGACAGCUUUAAAAUGUUCUUCAUAGUCUAUCCAGUAUUCUGGUGGAAGAAGAUGUGGGUUUAACAUGCUGCGUUGGGCACCAGUGUCGAUGAGACCAAUUGCUGGAAUGGGCCUUUGGAACUUUGAGGGCAAGAUCUGGAGCUUAAUGGAUGGUAUAAGAAUAGAAGUGUCAAGGGACAGUAAUUGUUGGUGGAAAAUGAUUUGGGAUUGAUCACUGUCUGAAUCAUCAGAGGAGUUCUGCAGUGCGAAGACUGUUUCAUCAUUGGGUUUAUCUUGUUCAGAGAAAUAUAAUUCCAGUUCAUCCUUUGUUGGAGAGAAAUCUGUAGUUGCUUAAAGAUGCUUAACUAACCGAAUAGAUUUUUCCCGUUUGUUGGGAUAGUCUUUGGCAUAAUGGCCUUUCUUUUUACAGAUGAAACAUCUGCUUGAGUUUCUCCGUUUAAAGUCUCUGGAAGAAGAUGACUUCUUUUGGAAGAAUCUGUAAGGCUUUCUGGACCGACGAGGUCUGGAUGAAAAUUCUGAAUUUCUGAAUUUCUUAAAAUGCCUUUGCUUUUUAGGACUGCAAUCACAAUCCUUCUUCUUUUUGCAUUUGAUCUGCAAAUAAGGCUUUUUGCAAGCACUCCGGAAUGGUUCUUUAUCUUUCAACAGUUUUUUGAAAAACUGUUUCUGCUCACAAAGUUUGUCAAUACAGGUUUUGGCAAGCUGAAAGAUUUUGCCGAGAGAGAUGUUGUCAAGGGAAAGAUUGGAUGCGGUGAGUUGUCUUUGUAUGUCUGGUUGGAGUUCGUCUGGUAGGGAGGCCAGAAAGACAUGCUUUAAUGUUGGCUCAUUGAAUCCAUUAAGCUUAUAGAACAGCAUGGACAUUUGCUUAUAAUGGAAAUCAAGAUCCUUAGCAUUAAGGGAACAGCAUUUCAUGUUGAGAUAGUCUCGUUGUGCAGCUUCAAAGACUGCAGAAGGGUCUCCAAGGAAUUAAUCAUGGAGAACAGCAAGAGCACUUGAGACUUCUGGUAGAUCAACAAACUGUAAUUGGCGGUAGCGACCUAAGGAAUUAAACCAAUCUCUUAGAGCACCCGUAAAACGAGUAGCAAAUUCUCUAAGGACUGAUUGAGUUGUGGCGCCUGGCCUUAGCAUUUGAAGGUCAAUCUAGGCAGACAUUUCAUUAAGGUGAUCACGCCAUUUAUGAGAUGGAAGAUCAUCAAAUGUGAACCAUGGACCAUUCGACGAUUUUUGAUUGGGUGGAUUGGUUUGGGCUUGAGCUGGAGGGGGUUGGUUUGUGGCAGAGGAUUCAGGCAUCUCUUGGUCAAUGUCUGAGGGAAUAUCAACAUAUGGUUCUGUAUGAGAGGUGUGGCUUGGGGUAGGGUGAUCAGGUUGAGCCAUCAAGAUUCUGGUGAUAUCAGCAUAGGACUUUUCAGAAUCACUAGUGGAGAUUGAAGAUUCUAUGUCAGUCUCAGUAUGGCUAUUAGAAAUAGCUAGAUUUGAAUCAGAAGUUUGGUCAUCGGUAGUAGGAGAGUGGGCGACGGUAUGGGUACUGAACUGGUGCAUUGGUUGUUUAUCUUUGGAUUGAGAAGGUGGUUGGGAUUCAGUUGGUGGAGGAGGUACUGGUGGCGAUGCCGGAGUAUGACCAGGAGAGUGUUGGCCAGGGAUGGUAAUGGAUGACGGAUGAAAUGUGACGGGUCGCGGUUGAGGUUUAGGCUUUGGUUUAGGUUUAGGUGGUGGUGGCAAUGGAUUAUCCCGAAAAAGAGUAUGAGUCAUACCAAAUAACUUGGAAAGAUCAUACUGUCUGAUGGGGGAAAGUAUAGAGGCAAAUGGAUGAUAAAUUGGACCUAUGGAAGGAAUAGGAGGGGAUGUGGUAAAAAAGGUAAGUCUUUGUUUUUCAGAUUCAAUCUGAUCAAGUUCAGCUUUUAAGCGUCUGAUUUCCCUUUCCUUUUGGUCAAAUUCGGGGCCAUAAUAGCGCUGGGCAAGCAUAGCUCGUAGCUCAGAAUCGAGUUGAGUAAUUCUGGACUGGAGAUUUUGGUGGAUCUGCUGCAUUUGUGCAGAGAUGGAGUCAACUUUUGUCUCAAGUUGUUCAGUUCGUAAACUGAUGUUCUCAACUUUGGAGUUGAUAUUCAACAAAGUAUCAUUCUGUGCUUUGGCAUUUUGGGCUUGCCAGUUGAGGACUGAUUCAAAAGGUUUGGGAGGUUCUAAGUGGCCAGAUGAGGUAAUUGGUGAAGGGACAAAGGGUUUGGACACAACAUUUCGUUGGGAGUCUGUGUGAGUGUCUAAAGGAGGAAAAUAGGAAGAAUAGUCUGAAGAAGUGGAUGAAAACAUCAUACAAGUGAGUGGUGGUGUGGGAAGUGAGAUUGGUGAUGGAGUCUCAGAUUUGCAAUGCUUUGCAAUCCAUUUGAGUUCUUUUUGGUAAAAAGGUAAUGGAGCUGGCGGAGUUGGAGGAUCUUGUGGCGGUUUAAGAUCAUAGUGGUGGCAGGAAAGUGGAGGUUUUUUCUUUUUGGGUUUCUUUUUCCUUGUGGUGGCAUAAUCAUCGUCUUCGUCCCAAUCAUCCCAGCAGGGGCAAUUGGGGUCACACAUGUCUGAGCCAGGGGCAUCCCAUAGGAAAUGACCAUGUUGCUUGGCUGGAUAAACAGGGUAGCCUUCAUAAUUGAACCUUGAGAUGGGCAGAUCUUCUUGGGCUGUCUGAACAACUGUAAUCAUUGAAGAAUAGGUAAAGGAGAGCCGAGGAGGCUCUUGUGGAGCACUGGGAGGUGGUUUAAAGGUCAUUCAGACUGGUCCAUCUUGGCGUCUUUCAAACAUACUUUCAGAUGCAUAAGCUUGAUGAGCUCAUGACGGGGAAUUUGUCUUNNNNNNNNNNNNNNNNNNNNNNNNNNNNNNNNNNNNNNNNNNNNNNNNNNNNNNNNNNNNNNNNNNNNNNNNNNNNNNNNNNNNNNNNNNNNNNNNNNNNNNNNNNNNNNNNNNNNNNNNNNNNNNNNNNNNNNNNNNNNNNNNNNNNNNNNNNNNNNNNNNNNNNNNNNNNNNNNNNNNNNNNNNNNNNNNNNNNNNNNNNNNNNNNNNNNNNNNNNNNNNNNNNNNNNNNNNNNNNNNNNNNNNNNNNNNNNNNNNNNNNNNNNNNNNNNNNNNNNNNNNNNNNNNNNNNNNNNNNNNNNNNNNNNNNNNNNNNNNNNNNNNNNNNNNNNNNNNNNNNNNNNNNNNNNNNNNNNNNNNNNNNNNNNNNNNNNNNNNNNNNNNNNNNNNNNNNNNNNNNNNNNNNNNNNNNNNNNNNNNNNNNNNNNNNNNNNNNNNNNNNNNNNNNNNNNNNNNNNNNNNNNNNNNNNNNNNNNNNNNNNNNNNNNNNNNNNNNNNNNNNNNNNNNNNNNNNNNNNNNNNNNNNNNNNNNNNNNNNNNNNNNNNNNNNNNNNNNNNNNNNNNNNNNNNNNNNNNNNNNNNNNNNNNNNNNNNNNNNUUAGGAGGUUCUAGGUGGCCAGAUGAGGUAAUUGGUGAGGGGACAAAGGGUUUGGACACGUCAUUUCGUUGGGAGUCUGUGUGAGUGUCUAAAGGAGGAAAAUAGGAAGAAUAGUCUGAAGAAGUGGAUGAAAACAUCAUACAAGUGAGUGGUGGUGUGGGAAGUGAGAUUGGUGAUGGAGUCUCAGAUUUGCAAUGCUUUGCAAUCCAUUUGAGUUCUUUUUGGUAAAAAGGUAAUGGAGCUGGCGGAGUUGGAGGAUCUUGUGGCGGUUUAAGAUCAUAGUGGUGGCAGGAAAGUGGAGGUUUUUUCUUUUUGGGUUUCUUUUUCCUUGUGGUGGCAUAAUCAUCGUCUUCGUCCCAAUCAUCCCAGCAGGGGCAAUUGGGGUCACACAUGUCUGAGCCAGGGGCAUCCCAUAGGAAAUGACCAUGUUGCUUGGCUGGAUAAACAGGGUAGCCUUCAUAAUUGAACCUUGAGAUGGGCAGAUCUUCUUGGGCUGUCUGAACAACUGUAAUCAUUGAAGAAUAGGUAAAGGAGAGCCGAGGAGGCUCUUGUGGAGCACUGGGAGGUGGUUUAAAGGUCAUUCAGACUGGUCCAUCUUGGCGUCUUUCAAACAUACUUUCAGAUGCAUAAGCUUGAUGAGCUCAUGACGGGGAAUUUGUCUUGGGAUCUGGAUUAUGGUUGGGAUUUGGUCAGAUUCGGCUAAUACCAUGAGGGUAUCCGAAUGAUGUUCUGGAGUGGGGAGAUCUAAGGCAUGAUUUUGAAGCCUAUAGACCAGUUGGUGGUGUAAGGUGUCAAUUUUGACAGAAGAAAUUUGUUCAGCACCUUGAAUUUGGAUUUGAACCUUCAAGGUUGUGGGCAAGUUGGGAUCUUGGAGAGAAAGGUUGAAGUUUGGGUAAAAGGUAAGUUAAACACUUCUUGCAUGGAGGGUUGUAAGGACAGUGCCAAUAACAGCAUCUUGGUACUGUUUAAACCAGGUAUCAAGCAUAGCAAGGCGAGCUGUAACCGGUAAUCAUUUUCUUCCAUGAAGAGUAAAGAUUAAUCUGAUGCCUCCAAGAUGAAGAUGAGUAUAACCUUCGCGUUUCCAGUUGGAGAGCAACUCGGAGGGAAUCUCCAGAGUGACAUAUUGCCCAGCAGAGGUGGCUUGAAGAGCACACUGAUCCAGGCGGGAAGACUGGAUAUAUUCUUUAGGGUGAGGGCGUCUGGUAGAUAUGAGGGUGCGGAUGCUGCGGGUAAAGGAGCUAGGUCGUUUGUACAACUGAUAAGGGCUAAUAAGAGGGUAGGAGGACUCACUGAUUUGGGCUGAUUAAGGGAUAUAGGAACAUUCCACAAGGUUUUCAAUCUUAUUGGUGGUAUGAGAAGUGCAAGAUCUGGACAAAGAAAGGGUAGAAGAAAGAGUAACAGGAGGUGAAGAUGAAGUGGAAGCCAUGAAUGAGAAGUUCUCUCUGCGCCUGAAGUUCUAGAGAGCAAAAUAGAAAAAGCCUUAAAUUAUACCAUUUUGGUCAGGAAAACAUGGAUUUAGAAAACAUGAAAGUUUCAAGGAUUGGUAUGGCUCUGCAAACGAAGCUCUCUAGAGAAAGAAAAAGAAUAAAGAAUUAAAUUUAUUCAUUUUGAAACCUAAGGAAGUAUGCUCUGCACUUGCCUUCUAGUAAGGAUCCUGUGCAUCAUAAAACUUUUGGAACAAAUUCUUAUCUGGUUUGGUACCCUGUUUUAGACUAAAGGAAAGUCUGUUUUGGGUUAAAUAACCCGAGAAAGAAGGUGUUUUAACAAAAGUUUUGAUUCCCCAUUUGAGUAUAUCGACGAGAAACCGACGACGUAAAUUCCAGAGGUGAUCCUGAAUAGGCACUAGUCUGGUCUGCACUGUCGGAUAACAAGUCACGUAUAAAGUGUUCUUUUCCAUUGAUGUCUUCAAGGAGGAUGGCAUCCCAUGAGUCAUCACUUGCGUCUGUCUGUAAUAGGCGCUUUCCAUUAGUAAUCAACUUUAAAGGAGGCGGACUUUGCGCAAUCUUCUUGAGAGUAGUGACAACAUUUGUGUGGUCCGUAUUCCAUUCUGGGGGCUUCUUUUUCAAUAAAGCUGAAAGGUGAUGAGUGUAGUGAUCCACAUAUGGGAUAAAGUCUCUGAUGUAAUUGAUGAUGCCGAGAAACUGUUGAACUUGCUUUUUGGAAAGUUGCUGAUCUGGAAAGGGAAGUAAUUCUUGGGCAAUGUGUUUGCCUGGCUGAUAAUGGCCAUCUUUUAUGAUCAUGCCAAGGAAUUCAAUGUUCUCCGUGGCAAUGGUGCUUUUCUUGGCAGACAGCAUAAUUUCAUGAUUUUGGACAAUAUCAUAUAAUUGGGUUAACAGCUGGCGGUGUUCAUCAUGUGAUAGAAAAAAGUAAGAUAUCGUCAAUGUAAAUCAAUGCAUGAUGCAGGAUGGGCUGAAAGAUAUGGACCAUAGAUUUUUGAAAAAUGGAUGGGGCAGUUUUGAGGUCGAAAGGAAUGACGGUCCAUUGGAAAUGGGCAUUUGGGAUACAAAAAGCAGUUUUGUAACACUCAGAGGGUUCAAUGCCUAAUUGCCAGAAGCCUGAUUUUAAAUCAAAUUUUGAAAAGAUCUGGGCAUUUUUUAGAAAAGUAAACAUGCUUUGUCGACGGGACAAGGGAAACUUGUCAUCUUAUAAAAACAUGUUUAAUGGCUGGUAGUCAAUGACUAGGCGUUUCUUUCCUCAGACAAUUUCAGAGUGCUUUUCAACAUAAAAAGCUUGGCAAGCCCAUUGAGAAUUCGUGGGCUCAAUUAGACCUUGGGCUAACAGUUGGGAACAUUCCUGUUGGGCUAGGAGUAAAUCAGAAUGACUCAUUCCUGGGUGAGUAGCUUUGGUUGGGUUAAUGUCUUCAUUGAGUUUGAAAGGUAACUUAAUGAAGAAAGACUUAUUUUUCCACAAUGGGUUUAGAUGAGUGAACUCAGAAUGAGACUCUGGACAGAAACUCAAAAGUUUGGUGGAAAUAUCCUGGUAGGACUGGGGGGUUUCAGACAGAUUGUAGAGUUUCAGAAUGUCUAUGAAAGGUUUGAACAUGGACUUGACUCGAAUUCCAUUGGGAAGGAUUUGGAGGUGUUUGAUCUGGUGAAGGAUGUCAAAACCUAACAAGAAAUCCUUAUUAGGAAGGGUUGAACCGAUAACUUUGGUCUAAAUGACACAAUUGGAGAAAAUUUGAAUACCAAUUGGUUUUUUGGUAAUCAAGGAGGUGGUGAAUAGUUUGCCAUUGACAGCUUUGAAAUGUUCUUUAUAGUCUGUCCAGUAUUCUGGUGGAAGAAGAUGUGGGUUUAACAUGCUGCGUUGGGCACCAGUGUCGAUGAGACCAAUUGCUGGAAUGGACCUUUAGGGUACAUGACUUGUAAUCUGACAGUGCAGACCAGAUUAGUGCCUAUUCAGGAUCACCUCUGGAAUUUACGUCGUCGGUUUCCCGUCGAUAUACUCAAAUGGGGAAUCAAAACUUUUGUUAAAACACCUUCUUUCUCGGGUUAUUUAACCCAAAACAGACUUUCCUUUAGUCUAAAACAGGGUACCAAACCAGAUAAGAAUUUGUUCCAAAAGUUUUCUGAUGCACAGGAUCCUUACUAGAAGGUAAGUACAGAGCAUACUUCCUUAGGUUUCAAAAUGAACAAAUUUAAUUCUUUAUUCUUUUUCUUUCUCUAGAGAGCUUCGUUUGCAGAGAAAUGAGAGAUGUUUAGAGAUUCAUAGUGAUAAAAACACACGAGAGUUUAUUGCGUUAAACUUCUAUAUUCUAUAUCUUACAAGUAAGGGGAGAAUCCUUUAUAUAGGAGAAUUCUCAGAGGAGAUAGGACAGGACCCCUAUCUUUUUUUUUCAAAAGCAAAAGAUACGACAACAUAGAGAGAUCAUGACUUCUCCAGUGAUCAUGACCUGUAGCACACCUUUUUAGAAAGUCAAGCCCACCGAUCAAGACUUGGACAAAUGGACAAAGGAGAAAACAUGCUUACAAAGACUUUGACAACUGGCAAAAGCCAAAGCGUAAAGCAAGCUAAGACAAAACCAUAAAGUAAAACAUAAUUAUUACAACAAGACAAACUACUUUAUUGAAAGCAACAAGACAAACAACUUUAUGGAGAUCGGAGAUUCAUGUAAUCGUCUUCGGAUGAGCUUUCGGUUUCAUCGGGGUCAGUGUCACGGUUGGAUUUUGGGAAAAAGGUUUUAGAGAGCUUUGGAUGCUUACAGUAGGGACUACGGUAAGGGGGGUUGGGAGUCUUGGAAAAGGAAGUCAGUGUAGUCUGGCUUUUCUUCUUUGAUAAUGAUUCCCGUGGAUUUCGGUUUGGAUAUGGCAGAUGGAGUGGGGAUCAUGAGGAGGUCAUGUUGUGGGCCUAAGGAGGUGUGGAAGACAUCUUUAAGUGGCGGAGGUUAGUGGUUUAAUUGGCAAAGGUAAUUGUGAAGGACAUCUUGGAUUUCAUUUUCAAUGACAGCUAGAUGUGGUGCAGUGAACCAUUCAUAUACCUGGUCUUGAGUCCAAAAAUGUUUUGUGUCUGGAUGUUGAAAGUAUGGCCUGUGAAUGAUAAAGACUGAGGUAAACAUUUGUGCUUCCGAGGCAGGCAUACGUUCAAGGUUGUAAAUUUCGGACAAUUGCUCCACCAUGGUAUAGGGGAGAACCAUUCAAGUAAUAUCCAGGUAAGAGAGGUAGCUUUUUCUGGGUUAAGGAGAUGUUCCAAAGUGGGAGUAAUUGGUAGGACUAACUUAGUGGCAUAAAGGACUGUUAGGCACCAGAUGUACCAUAACACAUCUUCAGUGGUUUCUCUGGAUGGAUCAAGGGUUAAACCUGUAAGGAACAAAUUUUCUGGGUGGAAAGAGGAAAAUUGAAAGGGUUCUGUGACAAGGUAAGCUUUCAUGAAGAAGCGAAAGAGAGCUUUCUUUGCAAAUUCUUGGAUGGCAAAGACAGAAGAGAAGUUUUGUUGAAGGGAAAAGUUUUCUUGGUGAGAGCUUCUGGGGGUAGUGAUGUAGCCAUGGAGAUUAUCGGAAAGUGGUAUGUAGUGGAAAACAUGGUGAGAGGUUUUUCUGGUUUUGAGAGUCUGGAUAGCAUAUCAGGGAUGAGGUUCUGGGAUCCCUUUAUAUGCUUGACCGAAAAGUCAUAUUUGGAAAACCAAUCUUUUAAUCUGAGUAACAUUUUUUCGGGAACAGUUUUACCUUUGAAAUUGAGAAUAUUGGGGAAUGCUGAACUGUCCAUUCGGAUGAGAAAAUGAUGUCCAAUCAGAUGAUACUCAAAUUUUUUGAUGCCAUUCUUUACCGCUAAGAUUUCUUUGAACACGCUAUGGUAAUGCUUCUGUGUGUUAGAAAAUUGUCCACUAGCGUAAGCGAUAAAGUGUUCUUUUCCAUUGAUGUCUUCAAGGAGGGUGGCACCCCUUUCCCUGACGCUAGCUCCAAUGCCAUUGAUCCUCUUGGCAUACAGGCUAAACGCAAAAUCUACUUUCAACCUGCCCGACAUCGGCCCCUUUAGUGGUAACGGCGGUAGGUACAUCGAUGACCAUGAUUUCACCGUCGAAUCUUUUUUGGAUUUUCGGACUUCAAAUUUCUUAUCGGUUUCACUUCGGUAUUGGCUUUGAAGUUUGGAUAAGCGGUUUUCAAACUUGCCGUUCGUAUAGGGUUGGCUUGAGUUAGGUUCUGCUGGGGUUUCGGAAUUGCUGGCGCGUGUGGUGAAUGUGAAGUUAUAGGUAUUAGUGGAGGGUUUAGGCACGUGGAGGUUUAAGAGUGAGGUGGCUCGUGAUGAGGGAACAAAUUAAGAGAGAGUGUUUGUUUUUAAAAGAGUACAAAAUUUAUAAGAGAUGAAAAUAAUAGGAAGUUACCUUGUCAUGAGUUUUUAUAUUUUAUAAUAAAAAAAUUUUGUCCCGUAUUUUGAUAGUAUGCUAUUUUUUGUACUAAUUAUAGUGCACCUAUCAAUAUGAGAGAAAAUUGACGGAGGGAUUAAGAAUAAAAUGUAAGGAAAACAAGAUAUUAUGAACAAAACAUAAUUAAUAUGAAUUCAGGAUAGUUAUUAGUAAUUUAUAUGAUAUUUUUGUUAAAAUGGUUGUACAUCCAUUACAUUCGCUCCAGUUAUUUUUAUCUCAAAAAUAUACUAUAAAAGUAAAUGUAGUUAAAAAAAUCAAAGCAUUUUAACCCAAAAGGGUAUUUUCGUCAAUUUGUAAAUUCACUAACAGUCAGCGUGUAUUUAUUAGGGAUGGCAAAAUCCGGGUCCGGGUCCGGGUUUAGCCUUUCCGGAUCCGGACCCGGAUACUAUUUUCUUUUCCCGGACCCGGAUUUUAACCCGGAUUUUUUCACCCGGGUCCGGGUCCGGGUUCAACCCGGAAAAAUCCGGGUUUCCGGAUUCCGGGUUUUGAACCCGGAUCAAUGAAUCAAUAUUAAUUUCUAAAAUUCUAAAAAUAAAAAAUUAAUACAUUUCUAAACAAUAACACAUUUAGAUUAAUCAAUAAAAUUAAUUAAAAAAAUAAUAUUAAAAUUAAAUAUCCGGGUCCGGGUUCCGGAUGUCCGGGUUAACCUAAACCCGGACCCGGACCCGGAUAUAUCCGGGUUAUUAAAAUUUAUUCCGGACCCGAAUUUUUUUAUAUUCCGGUGCGGGUUCAACCCGGCCCGGAUUAUCCGGGUUCGUCCGGGUCCGGGCCGGGUCCGGGUUAUUUUGCCAUCCCUAGUAUUUAUGCUAAUGGUGGGGGAGGUAAGUGAGGAUAUCAGAAAACUUACCAUCUAAAUGUAAUUAUUCGAAAAAUCAAGGGUACUUAAAAAUAACCCAGUCACGAAAGUUCCUUAAUGUUCGAAAGUGGUCGUUCAUAUUUUUUUUUUUAUUAUUUUUUAAUUUUACUGUCAUCCGUGUCUAUUCUUUCGUUAUUUGUUUUUUUUUUAUAUCUUAAAUAUAAAUAUUUACAAUAAAAAAGUUUUAUAAUUAGUUAAGACUGAAGAAUGGAUGUUUACACGAAAUUGUGUGCUUCUGUGCUCUUAUAAAAUAUUUUACUAAAUCCAACCAUAAAACAUUUUAGUAGAGAAAAGAAAAAAACAGUAAUAAUAAAAAAAUAAUAAAGAAAAGGGGAUUCGCACCCAUUUAUUGACGCUCGUUAAAAUGUACUUCCCUUAUCGUGUGCAGUACACACGCGGUGCCCAUUGCACUCACUUCGUAGUACCACAACACAAAUCAAGAGUCAACCCAGUUCACACACAGAGUUGUUCAGGCUUUGCUUUCAUCUGCUAUAACCAAAGCUGUAAUAUAUAAGGCAUGGCAUCGGCGGCAGCAGCAGCUUCAUCUGCUCCAACAAUUUGGUUGACUGGCCAAGGUUAGGUAGCUACGAUAAAGCUAGCCAUUUCAGACCCUUUACUCUGUUUUUGCUAAUCUAUUAGUAAUAAUGUUGAUUUUAAUGGAUGUUUAAUUACAGGACUUGGUGGAAGGAGUACGCGAUUGCCUUUUCAUUGGAGAAACAAAAAGGUUUUUGUUAUCUUAUCUAGUUUAAUCAAUUUUAGUGCUGUCAAAUAUAGCACUUUGUUUGAGUUUUUGCAAUUAUCUAGUAAUUAAAUGAUUUUUGAAACAUAAUUUUGGUGUAGAUUCUCAGGUGUUUAAAUGAUUAUCCAAACAGACAGUAAGCUAGUGUGUGUGAUUCAUCACAAACUUUGUGUGUGGCGACGAAAUGUUUAGUUGUGUUAUUUACUUAUGUUGUGACGUUAUGUACAUGAUCAGAUGGAGCAGAGAAAGACUGGUGGCCGAAUUUCUGCGAAAUUUGAUUUGAAGCCUCCACCUUAUCCACUGGUAAAGAUUUCUCUAUUUAUUAUCACAACUUAGCAUUCAGUUGCGAGAGAAACUUACAUGGGACAGGUGCACCACAUUAUCUCUGUGUACAUCCAAUAAUUUUACGCACUCAUUAGUUUUGAAUUUAUCCGAUUGUAUAUGAGUUUUCUUUUGUCAAGGCUUAUUAAAUUUAUAUGUGGCAUGGCAGAAUGCUCUGGAGCCACAUAUGAGCAAGGACACCCUGGAAUUCCACUGGGGAAAGCACCACAGAGCUUAUGUGGAUAACCUCAACAAGCAAAUUGUUGGAACUGAGCUUGGUGAUGGAAAGUCAUUGGAAGAUGUCGUUAUUGCUUCUUACAACAAGGGUGACUUGCUUCCAGCUUUCAAUAAUGCUGCACAGGUAUGUAUAUAUGUGUGUGUGUGUGGGAACAUUGAAUCAUUAUAUACAUAUAUCCACUUUCUGAAAGUUUUAGUACUUCUAAAUUAAUGAAUGAUGGCUGAUAAUAAUAACUUGUUCGAAUGGUACACUUGCAUUUUAUUUUGUCACGGGUGUAUACAUCUAAGUAGUCUGAAGAUAACACAGUAAACUAAUUAAAGUCAUCUUAAUUCCAAAAGUUC
rnacentral:lncRNA from 1 species